GGAGCCGUGCCUGAAGUAAAGGGCCACUUUGAUAGAGUGAAUCAUGAGGGUUACAAUCCCUCCGACUCCU
rnacentral:tRNA from 1 species